GUACCAUACAUAUUUGGUCCGUUGAAGCCCUCGUACGUUUGAACCUCAAGAUAUAUUUCAGAAUUACUGUGAUUUACCAAAAAGCCUACUUAUUAAAAAUUAAGUAGAAGAUCCACGAUCUGCACCGAUACACAGAGGAAGUUAUUUCAACAACUUACAACAAAAAGUGAGUAAGAACAAAAUUAUACUUAAGUAAAUACUUAUUUAAACUAUAAAAAAAUGGUUAGUGAACUAAUAAAAUUACGAAAUAUUUACAGGUCAAAAAGGGAAUCGCUCUCUUGCUGCGAUUCAUGAGUGAAAAUUCAAGAAAGUACUAUUAAAGUCAACGAUCUCUCUCGAGAUACGAGGUGACUACCAUUCUUUAUCGACUUGAAGCUAGCCAGAUGACGAGUUGAUGUAGACCCUUAAAUGAUUAUACUCGGGUUGAACUUAUAAUCAUCUUUAAGGACUCUCCACAUCGACGCUACUCGCGCAGUCGAAGAGCUCCUGAUUUCCUGCUUCAAAUAAUUGUAUGUAACUACUUUUAAUUUAUCUCUCUCUCUCUGUCUGAUUAAGAGAAAGCCUGUGCCCAGCAGUUUAUGUUAAGUUAUAAUAUUAAUUAGUAUUUAGAUCGCCUUAUAGUCUAUAGGUUUUACUCAAUUCGUCUCAUAAUUAAAACAAUAUCACAAAAGUGUCUUUAUAGAUUUUGGUAGGAAGGUUCUUUUUUUUGAACCAUUUUCGGUUUUAUUUAAAAUGGGUUACUGCUCUGUGUGUAAUGUUAAUGUUAAUGGAAGACAGUGGACUGGACAUUUCCGUAGCAGUAAGCACAAAAAUAAUUGUACUGCUCCGCUUUAUGAUAACGUAGAGAUCAUAACAUCCGCUUUUAAAGGACGUAUAGUAAGUUAUCGAAUUAUUGCAUCUAAUGAAGAAGCAAAAAACUUACCUUCUUUAUUUUUAAACAACAUUCGUAAACAAAUUAGAUCUCUUGUAAAUCACGCCUUACAAGUCCACACUUCUGUUAAAAUUAACUUCGAAUUUUUUUUAUCUUUUCUUUUGCCUAAAACUGACGUACAAGAAGUAAAGUCGUUUGCUACAAAGAACUUUACAAUUCACUUAAAUUUUGACUUUGAUAAUCUUUAUAACGAAGUUGUUUCUUUUCUGUUGAAUAAAGUAGGGGAAUUUGAAGAAAGAGACAGUGGUUGGACAUUUUUAAGCAAUUCACACCUUGAAAUAAAUAUAAAUAAAUAUCAGCCUUUAAGCGGUUCCAGCUUUAUCUCAUUGCCUAAAUAUAUAAGAAACAAAAAAG